UGAGGAAUAUUGGUCAAUGGGUGCAAGGCUGAACCAGCCAUCCCGCGUGAAGGACGACUGCCCUAUGGGUUGUAAACUUCUUUUGUAUAGGGAUAAACCUACCCUCGUGAGGGUAGCUGAAGGUACUAUACGAAUAAGCACCGGCUAACUCCGUGCCAGCAGCCGCGGUAAUACGGAGGGUGCAAGCGUUAUCCGGAUUUAUUGGGUUUAAAGGGUCCGUAGGCGGACUUAUAAGUCAGUGGUGAAAGCCUGUCGCUUAACGAUAGAACUGCCAUUGAUACUGUAAGUCUUGAGUAUAUUUGAGGUAGCUGCAAUAAGUAGUGUAGCGGUGAAAUGCAUAGAUAUUACUUAGAACACCAAUUGCGAAGGCAGGUUACCAAGAUAUAACUGACGCUGAGGGACGAAAGCGUGGGGAGCGAACA
rnacentral:rRNA from 1 species